UGGGGAAUCUUGCACAAUGGGGGAAACCCUGAUGCAGCGACGCCGCGUGAGCGAUGAAGCCCUUCGGGGUGUAAAGCUCUUUCGGCAGGAACGAUAAUGACGGUACCUGAAGAAGAAGCUGCGGCUAACUACGUGCCAGCAGCCGCGGUAAUACGUAGGCAGCAAGCGUUGUUCGGAGUUACUGGGCGUAAAGAGUGCGUAGGCGGUGCUCUAAGUUUGGUGUGAAAUCUCCCGGCUUAACUGGGAGGGUGCGCCGAAAACUGGAGUGCUUGAGUAUGGGAGAGGCAAGCGGAAUUCCUGGUGUAGCGGUGAAAUGCGUAGAUAUCAGGAGGAACACCUGUGGUGUAGACAGCUUGCUGGACCAUCACUGACGCUGAGGCACGAAAGCGUGGGUAGCAAACA
rnacentral:rRNA from 1 species